rnacentral:rRNA from 1 species
UACGUAGGGACCAAGCGUUGUUCGGAUUUACUGGGCGUAAAGGGCGCGUAGGCGGCGUGACAAGUCACUUGUGAAAUCUCUGAGCUUAACUCAGAACGGCCAAGUGAAACUGUUGUGCUAGAGUGCGGAAGGGGCAAUCGGAAUUCUUGGUGUAGCGGUGAAAUGCGUAGAUAUCAAGAGGAACACCUGAGGUGAAGACGGGUUGCUGGGCCGACACUGACGCUGAUGCGCGAAAGCCAGGGGAGCGAACGGG